rnacentral:rRNA from 1 species
CGAUGAACCGGCUUCGGCCGGGGAUUAGUGGCGAACGGGUGAGUAACACGUGGGCAAUCUGCCCUGCACUCUGGGACAAGCCCUGGAAACGGGGUCUAAUACCGGAUAUGAGCUUCCACCGCAUGGUGGGGGCUGUAAAGCUCCGGCGGUGCAGGAUGAGCCCGCGGCCUAUCAGCUUGUUGGUGAGGUAACGGCUCACCAAGGCGACGACGGGUAGCCGGCCUGAGAGGGCGACCGGCCACACUGGGACUGAGACACGGCCCAGACUCCUACGGGAGGCAGCAGUGGGGAAUAUUGCACAAUGGGCGCAAGCCUGAUGCAGCGACGCCGCGUGAGGGAUGACGGCCUUCGGGUUGUAAACCUCUUUCAGCAGGGAAGAAGCGAAAGUGACGGUACCUGCAGAAGAAGCGCCGGCUAACUACGUGCCAGCAGCCGCGGUAAUACGUAGGGCGCGAGCGUUGUCCGGAAUUAUUGGGCGUAAAGAGCUCGUAGGCGGCUUGUCGCGUCGGUUGUGAAAGCCCGGGGCUUAACCCCGGGUCUGCAGUCGAUACGGGCAGGCUAGAGUUCGGUAGGGGAGAUCGGAAUUCCUGGUGUAGCGGUGAAAUGCGCAGAUAUCAGGAGGAACACCGGUGGCGAAGGCGGAUCUCUGGGCCGAUACUGACGCUGAGGAGCGAAAGCGUGGGGAGCGAACAGGAUUAGAUACCCUGGUAGUCCACGCCGUAAACGGUGGGCACUAGGUGUGGGCAACAUUCCACGUUGUCCGUGCCGCAGCUAACGCAUUAAGUGCCCCGCCUGGGGAGUAC